rnacentral:rRNA from 1 species
ACUUUAAGGAAUUGGCGGGGGCGCACCACAAGGGGUGCGGCGUGCGGUUUAAUCCAACUCAACACGGAGAACCUUACUAGAAGCGACGGCAGGAUGAAGGUCAUGUUGAAGACAUUACCUGACGAGCCGAGAGGAGGUGCAUGGCCGCCGUCAGCUCGUGCUAUGAAGUGUCCAGUUAAGUCUGGCAACGAGCGAGACCUGUAUCUGCAAUUGCUACCGGCACUACGGUGGACCGGGCACAUUGCAGGGACUGCCUUGGAAACAAGGAGGAAGGUGUAGGCUACGGCAGGUCUGUAUGCCCCGAAUCUUCUAGGCUACACGCGCGCAACAAUGGUAGAGACAAUGGGAUGCAACUCCGAAAGGAGAAGCUAAACCUCUAAACCCUAUCUUAGUCCAGAUUGAGGAUUGCAACUCAUCCUCAUGACGCCGGAAUCCCUAGUAAUCGGGUUUCAUCAUAGCCCGGUGAAUAUGUCCCUGCGCCUUGCACACACCGCCCGUCAAACCAACCGAGCAGGGUUUAGGUAAAACUUAGCUUAUUGGUUUUGUUGAAUCUAAGCUCAGUGAGGCGGGU